rnacentral:rRNA from 1 species
GACGAACGCUGGCGGCGUGCCUAAUACAUGCAAGUCGAACGCACUUUCGUUAGAUUGAAGAAGCUUGCUUCUGAUUGAUAACAUUUGAGUGAGUGGCGGACGGGUGAGUAACACGUGGGUAGCCUGCCCUAAAGUGGGGGAUAACAUUUGGAAACAGAUGCUAAUACCGCAUAAAACCUAGCACCGCAUGGUGCAAGGUUGAAAGAUGGUUUCGGCUAUCACUUUAGGAUGGACCCGCGGUGCAUUAGUUAGUUGGUGAGGUAAAGGCUCACCAAGACCGUGAUGCAUAGCCGACCUGAGAGGGUAAUCGGCCACACUGGGACUGAGACACGGCCCAGACUCCUACGGGAGGCAGCAGUAGGGAAUCUUCCACAAUGGACGAAAGUCUGAUGGAGCAACGCCGCGUGAGUGAAGAAGGUUUUCGGAUCGUAAAACUCUGUUGUUGGAGAAGAACGUAUUUGAUAGUAACUGAUCAGGUAGUGACGGUAUCCAACCAGAAAGCCACGG